UACGUAGGGGGCUAGCGUUGUCCGGAAUCAUUGGGCGUAAAGCGCGUGUAGGCGGUCCGGUAAGUCCGCUGUGAAAGUCGGGGGCUCAACCCUCGGAUGCCGGUGGAUACUGUCGGGCUUGAGUACGGAAGAGGCGAGUGGAAUUCCUGGUGUAGCGGUGAAAUGCGCAGAUAUCAGGAGGAACACCAAUUGCGAAGGCAGCUCGCUGGGACGUUACUGACGCUGAGAAGCGAAAGCGUGGGGAGCGAACAGG
rnacentral:rRNA from 1 species